UAUCGCUGUCACUCGAUCUCUACGUCUUGUUGAGAGCGUGUCGUGAGUGAAUUUUCCUGAGGAAAAAUCCCGAAAUAUCGGAUUUAAAAACAUCCAUCUCCUUUCAUCCCUUAUAAUGUGUGCCUAAACGGGUCUGGUUCGCGAUGUCCGAAUAGAUUUCCGGAUUUUUGUAGGAGAGUAGGUUAGAUGGGAUGUUGAGUUUACAUAACCUUCCUCACCGGCAUUAGUUCAACAAACCUGAGGGGCUCCACCGUAUCCCUCAACGUAAGCUGAGCACUUUAUGGCCACCUAACAUCAAUGUGUAAGAUCCAAACCAUGUUAUGUGAAGUAAAAUCAGUAAGUAAAAGGAUUACAAAAAUGUGCGUAUAAAGAACAAACUAUGGGACGAAAUCGCAAAGAAUAUGGAAUUAAAACACAGG